UUAACUAGCAGUGCCCUCGUACUGGCGUAAUUUCUCACUCGUUGCCAUGCAUAUCCUCUUCGACCUGUGCGUAUCUGACUCGAGGAAUAAUAGGGCUCAACUACUUCCAAUAGCAAAACUUCAAGUCCGGUAACUGCAACCCAACCAGGCAUCCAAUUCUGUAAAAGCUCCCAGAUAGCAUCGUGCCAUCACUUGCUUGGACAAGCCAUAAUAAUUCUGGGUUCCUUUAUUCCUGCACAUCUAGGAUUUGUACUCUGCACACUUGAGAGAUCUUGCAUAUCUUACUGGUUACUACGAAGGCCUAUAAAUACCUUGUACCCAUCCGUUUGCAGUUCAUCAACAACACAGCUGCUUAAGAGCUUCUGAACCUUUCCCCAGGGUUAGGACAGAACAGAGCAGAGCAGCAUCAGAAGAAUGGCUUCCCUGAAGGCCGUGAAGCCCGCCGGAAUUGCGAAGGAACCUGCUGCCAAGCUCAGUGAGACGGCGACGAAGCCGGCGGCCGCCAAGGGCGGCGUUAAGAAGGCUGAGCAGAAGCCCCGGGAGCCCAAGAAGAAGGUGAAGAGCAGCAAGCCGGCAGCAGCCAAAAACUAAUAGUGGCCACAGGGAGAGUAUGACGGUCUCUCCAUGUUGUUAUGUUAUGCUAUGGGAUUAUGAAUCCCGUCUGUCCCUUCCUCUCGUCAUCACACCUUAGUCAAGCUGGUCUUGACGGUGUGUGCAGCCCUCGUGUGAUGGAUAUUACCAAUAAGAUGGUACAGUUGUGACAUCCGCUUU